GGACUUUCAGAAAUUUGUUCUAGAACUCUGAGAUGUCUUCAGUUUACAAGUCUGUUGCCCUAGGUGAUAGAUUCAAUCUUUUAAGUCUGUUGAUUGUAUAUACUGGAAUAUAUGUUUAGUGGGUUACAAACCCAAUUUAUCUUUUUCAAUUUAAUUUUGUUUUAUGUGUUGGGUAUGGCUCUGACUACCACUCCUAAGAAAAACAUCUUAGGUCCUUAAUGAAGGCCAUGGUUUCCCUUUGUCCUCCUAGGAUUCUGCAAAUUUUUUUAUUGAGCCAUCUGGAAGGGGACAUGGAGACAGCCUAAAGAAAGAAAUCAGUUAUGAAUGAAAAAAGCAAGUGAUAGAAGAAUACAUAUGGUAUGAUUCACAGAAGAAUACUUGCAAUGUGAUCCAUUUAUAAAAUGUUCUAAAAGAGACAAACCAACAAUAUAUUGUCUAGGGAUACAGUCAAAGGACAGGGAAUGAUUACAACAAAAAUCAAGUUACUGCCAACAACCUCUGACAACUGGCAACUCUAUUGGAUGAGAAGGGGUUUUUCAAGCCAUGAUGCCGGCAAGAUAGCUGACUAGAGAUGCCUGGCACUUAUCACUCCCACAAGAAAGGACCAAUGCACUGAAUAAACAACUAAGAUUUGACUGGAAUGUCAAAGGGACAGCACUGGCAUGCAGCAGGGGAAUGGAGACACACCUGCGGUGACUGGAAGUCCAGGAGGGCAGUGUGAAGGCAAACAGCCUCUGCUGCCCUGUCUCCUCUGUCUGGAUCAGAUCAGCCUGGACACAGGAGGGACUUCCCAUUGUCGGGAAAAGGUUAGCAGAAUAUCCCCACCAGCCCCCAUUGCCACCACAAAUAUCAACAAUCCUUUCUACAGCAGAACCCCAUAGUCCUCACAGGCCUUGAGUACAGUGUUAAGAGAUGCUGGAAAUUCACAUAGCUGCAUUGCCCUGGAUUAGGAACACAAGGUAUGCUCCCCGCUGCCCCCAGAUCCACCUCUGUGAGCCAAGCUGCUACAGCACAGUGCCAUCUUGGAGUGCACUCUCCUCUGGGGGACAGUGGCCACUGCACCUCUCCAGCACUGGAGCACCAUCUUCAUUACACCUCCAAACCCACAUAGGUGACUGAACACUACACCCCAGCUGCACAGAGCCUGGGUCUAGUACUAGCUGUGACUAUGGUCCUGCACAGCAGGGAAACCAACCCCAGCCACCACACUUCCAGCUGGAGGAACUGAAACUGCCACUCUCACCCAGGGUGAACCUGUCCUUAAGCCGGCCAAACUGCUGCAUGCCCCCAAGCCGAAGAGACUCUUGAGCCUCAGAGCAGCUGAUAUAUCCCUGGGCCAACAGGGUGGCUAUGCACCCAUGCUCAGGACCUGAGAAACAGCCCCGUAGCACCCCUGGCUUGCCCAAUGGCCCUGUACCCCCAAUAAGGGCCAGAGAAAUCAUCUUGCAGGCUGCCCCUGACAGGCAUGUCCCCAGGCUGGGCAAGCAGCCAAGAGCCCAUGUCCAGGACCUGAGAAACAGCUCCUCAGGCUACCUCCAGUGGCCAUGCCCCUGAGCAGCUUUGUACCUGCAUCCCAGACCUGUGAAAUGGCCCUGUGGGCAGCCCCCAGCAGACACAUCACCAGGCCAGCAAAGCAGCUGUGCCCCCACAUCUCAGGCCCAAGAAACAUCCCUACAGGCUGCCCCUGGCAGAUAGGAUUCCAGGCCAGCUGAACAGCUGUGUGCCCACAUCUGACGCCUAAGAAACAGCCCCACAAGUUGCUCUGGGCAGGAAUACUCCCAGGUCAGACAAGCCACUGCAUGCCACCCAUUUAAGAAACAGCCCAGUGAGACCAUCCCUGACAAAGUCACACCACCACCUCUACAGACUCUCUCAGCCUAGGCUACUGAGAAACUUGCAAAUGCCACUAAUAUAGAUUAUAGCCGAAAAAACUAUGUGAAGACUAAACUACUGGAUCCACCUAGAACCGGGCCAAUGUGCCCCACCAAUCUGAUAUCCCAAGAUCUCAUACAAUAUUCAUACAAAUAUUUCCCUGGGAAAUCUACUACAUACGACUGAAAGAGGUGACUUUUCCAUCAGAUGCAUAGAAAUCAAUGUAGGGACACAUGAAUCAGGAAAAAGCAAGGAAACGUCACCUUCAAUAAAAACAAUAAUUUUCCAGUAACAGACCCCGAUCAUAAGGAAAUACAUGAAAUGUC